UACGUAGGGCGCAAGCGUUUAUCCGGAAUUAUUGGGCGUAAAGAGCUCGUAGGCGGUUUGUCGCGUCUGCCGUGAAAGUCCGGGGCUCAACUCCGGAUCUGCGGUGGGUACGGGCAGACUAGAGUGAUGUAGGGGAGACUGGAAUUCCUGGUGUAGCGGUGAAAUGCGCAGAUAUCAGGAGGAACACCGAUGGCGAAGGCGGUUCUCUGGGCCUUACCUGACGCUGAGGAGCGAAAGCGUGGGGAGCGAACAGG
rnacentral:rRNA from 1 species